CAAAUUCAUUGAAAGAUAGUCACUUGAGUUGAAAAGACUCAAAUAUAAAUUUAAGAACAUAUUGUCUAUUGCUCUGCUGUGAAAAUAAUCUAAAUUUUAAAUGUAAAUCACUAUUCAUUGCAUUGUGCCAGUAUGCCAUAAUAUCUGCAUCAUUAGACUAGGAAAGAAGCCACCAAGACAACUGUAUAAAAAAGACCCCAGGGACAACGUGACAUGCAAAUGACAUUAUGAAAAAUAUAUAUGGGGGCAUUAGAAUAAAGGUACUGUGAGCUAUAAGAGGAAUCGUUUAUUUCAAGUAACAAUUUCUAAUUGUUUAUUUCAAAUGCAGCUUAUUCUUGACUUUAACUUGGGAUGCUGAAAAGACUGUUCGAGGAGACCUCUGAACAAUACACAGCUUUCUAUACCAGAAUAUAAGCCUCAUUUUCUCAUCGCCUUUGGAAUCUCACAGUAGAUGAAAUACAUCUCUGUCAACAGGAAAUUCUGGUACACAGGAAAAAAAAGGACCACUUCCCCAAAAGGAACAAAGAGAAGUGUUAUAAGCCAAACUUGGACAAAAUUAAUAGCUGCUUGCCUACAGCAGAGUUUCUUGACCUUGCACCCAGAACCUCCAUUCAUUUCAGGAGAAUUCUCAGUAAAGUGGGAAUUUUGGAGAUUCUUCCCUUCUUGUCUCCCGAGGAUAAAGAAGGCAAAACCGACAAAGGGAUUCACCGUGAAGAGGCUGCUUACUGUGGGGAAUUCAACAGACCCAGAAGAAAUUUGGCAGGAGCUGCCCAAAGCUUGAGAAUGAGGCCUAAGACUUGACUCGCGAUUCCACUUGAGAAACCUUGCGAGUACACACAAAGCUUUGUCUGUCCUUUAAUAAAGGGAAAGGCUGGAAAGAUUCUAAAUGUCCACUACCAGGAGAUCAACUGAGUGAAUUAUGGUUGAGUCGAUACCAAUUAUUCCAUAUCUACAUAAAUGAAUAUCACACAAUCACAGGAAACAGGGUUAUCUGAGAAAAAGCCUAUUAGAAAGUAUGCCACACACUAUGUUCCAUUUGAAAAAACACUUUGUACAGGAAAAAGUUGGCAUGGUGCUAAUGAGAUCACUGAUAAUUUAUCCUUGUGUUUGUCCCCCUUGUCUUUUUCCCCCAAGAAUAUUACAUAUU